UUUCCUAGUUCCGACUAGCAUAGGAACACGGCAGAAGUAAGCUUCUCUACUGUUUUCCAGCGUGCUCGAUUUCCGUAUCCAACGGGAGACAUCCAUUGCCAUCAUCACCAUAGGUUAGUUAGAGGGAGUAACGGUGUCAGAAGUACAGAAAGUCCCGAUUUACGUCUUCGCUAAACAGCCGAGGCACCUUGGAGGCACAAAGCUGGAACACAUUAGGAAACAGUAAUAUAUCGUGGUGGAAGACCGAAUUCAAACUUUAUUAUUUGCUUGGAAGUUCCGAGGCAAAGUUUUUUUUCUGGACUUGCUCUGCGCUGAUACACGUCUGACAGUUAACAACAAAGUAACUUGUACGGUGAUUCUCAGCAGGCCGUCCCAUUACAACCAGGGGUCCCACUGCUUCUGUUCUGUUUGCCUCCAUCGCAUCUAAGCCGGCUUCAGGGCUGCCUGACUGUGACUGAGGAACAGAGGACAGACACGUCUUCAUCUCUCCCCCAGAGGAAAGG